rnacentral:hammerhead_ribozyme from 1 species
GAACUACUGAGGAGUCCCACAAUAGGACGAAACGGUCGUCCAGUGC